CUAGUUCCAUCUUUAUUAUUAUUCUGUUGGAAUAUCUUGUCUGUGCGUUUUACGCCGGACCUGGUUCUGUCUUUAUUGGUAUUCUGUUGGAAUAACCUGUCUAUGCAAAGUACCGCAUGCAUGGUGAUUUCUGUUAUUAUUCCGUUCUUUAUUAUUCUGUUGGAACAUCCUGUCUGUGCUUUACGCAUGACCUGGUUCCGUUAAUAAUUAUUCUGU
rnacentral:lncRNA from 1 species